CUCCACUGUUCUUGCCUGGAGAAUCCCAGGGACAGGGGAGCCUGGUGGGCUGCCGUCUAUGGGUCGCACAGAGUCGGACACGACUGAAGUAACUUAGUAGCAGCAGCAGCAGCCGGCUUGUGGCCAGGACACCGCCUGUAGGCCAGAUGUGGCAGUGCCCUUCAAGUCGGACAGGCGCUCUGGCGCAUGCGCCGCCUGGCGCGCAGCCUCAGUCCGGUGCGGCGGGAACGAAGCGCUCUUGGGGGUGGCCGGUGCGAACGGCAGGUCGAGCUUGCGUGAGGGCCUGCUUAGGCCUUCCCUUCUCCACUCUAAUAGGUCAGGAAAGAUUCAGAGAGGCCAGCUAGUGCCUCAAAACCGCACCGGCAGUGGGAGACGGCGCCAGGAUGCACAUCUACGUUCAGCUCCUGGUUCAAAGCCGAUCUUAUAAGGUUAAGAGGAAUCUCACCUGGAAAGUGGCUCAUCCGAGUGGAGACCUCCCACCAGGACCGCGGAACCCAUGAGGAACAAGGCCAAGAAAGCAGAUCCUAAAUUGGCACAACUGAUAGCACAAAGCAACCCUUGUGCUCUCCAAGCCUCCCUUCAGACUGUGGCAACCUGUUUGAACUGGAGAGGAGAGAUGAACUGGGCUAGGCAAGGGGAAAAUUUGCCUAGGACAUCACACUUUUGAGGGUUUGAGAGAGCAUAGUAUGGGGGAAAGAUAUACCACUUACCACUAAGAAAAUGUUAUCUCAGACAUUCUUAAAAGCCCUUGACUUAUUUCAGAUUCUCCACUCUUUCCAGUUCCUGAGGAGGCCUCACAACAUGCCCCUUAUCCCAUGGAGCACUGAGAGCUGUGUGUGCUUCCUUCAUCCUCACUUCACAGACACAGGAAGUGAGUGAAGGAAAGAGCUUCCUGGAUUACUAGUUUCUGCCCAGCACGAAAGAUGAAGAAAACUCAGCCCCAGAGGAUGAAUGUCCAGGUCAUCCCAUUCUUAGCAGCCUAGCCAGUAGUCAGAUUUUCAGACACAGUUAAGUCAAACUUAGUUCCUAUCAAAAGACUGAGAAACUACUGCCAAGGUAGUUAAGGACCAAAAGAUGUUUCUAAGGAGGACAUUUCAUCUAGCUAGUGUACGGAGCGUAUAGGUAAGAGAACCAGGAAAUGCAAGGCAGGUCAGAUCUCUUGUGAUCUAUUCUUUCUCCUCCAGCCCCACUCUUGUUCUCUACAUGUAGUGUCCUUGAUCCCACAGAAAAUAACAGAUCUAAAGUGAGUUAUUCUUUUUCUCCUUCGUUUAGUGUCUUAUAUGAGACUUUUCAGGGUUAGUAAGUUAGAA